rnacentral:rRNA from 1 species
UUUAUGGGCCUAAGCGUUCGUAGCCGGNUCGGUAAGUCUCUGGGGAAAUCUUUUGGUUCAACCGUGAGGAUUCUCGGGGAUACUGGUGACCUUGGGGCCGGGAGAGGUGGGAGGUACUUCGGGGGUAGGAGUGAAAUCUUGUAAUCCUGGGNGGACCACCGAUGGCGAAGGCAUCUUAC